GCUGCCUAAUUCAUUUGAAAAGGUCUUCCCGAAUCGACUUGACGUACAUUGAAAUAUUUGCCACUGGUCUUUACUCAAACAACGAUUCACGCAUAAAUGCAUGACUAAAAAAAGUGUGGGGUAAAUGAUAUGUUUGUCUAGUAUCUCAGAUCCGUUAAAUAACACUUAAAAUAAAUUAAAAAAAACGUGACCCUAUUCUUUUACCAAAUACUCCUUGGAGAAGAAAUACCAUUUGAAACAAACAGAAAAGAUAAAAAUUUAGAGAUCCCUAAUAACUCAAUCCUUUUUUUCGGCUGUAAGCACGCUGCUGCAGCUAACGUUUUGUAGUGCGUAAUCGAGACAUCUCUAGUAUAUUCAAACUACUGCAAAUUAUAAAAAUGGCUUUCAUAAAGUAGUAACCACUUAACUUAAAAAAGGGGAACGGUUAUUUUUUUUUUAUCUGAGUAAGAUUUUUUUUUCGCGCGUACGUUUUUAUUCCUUUUUUUCGAUGCUGGUGAUCAAAUACAUUUUUUUUUCAAUAUUUAACACUAUAAUGUAUGGGAAAACUCUUUGAUUCAGAAUAUUUCUUUUAUCAUCUGUAUGAUCAUUUUUUUUUUAUCAAAUUGGGGAUCGGAAUAUUUCCAUUCCCACCCCAUCCCCCUUUUGAAGUCAAAUGGUUGUUCCCUUACCGCUAGAAAAAUUGUCCCAAAAUUUUGAAUUCAGUUCUACGUAUAGUCGCCGUCAUGUAAAAUUGGCACCAUGUUUUUUGUUAAAAAUUUUUUAAAUAUCAACCGCGUUUACUCAAGAUGAUGUUUUUCUUUUAGCGGAAGUAAAAUCCUCUCCAAAUAUCCACUACUGUCCUACCUUUUAUUGUGUUUGCACUGUAUAAUCCCGACCUUCACAUUUUUCAAGAUUAUUUACAUUGUAUAACCGCCAUCUUGGUUUCUAUGAGGGUCCCUUAUUCCAUAACAUUUGUUACUCUCUGGUAAUAUCAUUGUCAUUGAUGAUACAAUUUCCCGCGCUUUUUACAUAAAGAUGACGAAAAGCUCCGAGAGACACAAGAAAAUUGAGAGCACGUGGAACUCCACGGCAACACUUCCGGUAAUAACAAUGUCGGAUUCCACCAUACAAAUUAAUCUUGGAUUAUGUGAAGGUCAGGAUUAUACAGUGCAAACACAAUAAAAGGUAGGACAGUAGUUGAUUUUUGAAAUGAUAUUUGAUUCCGCUAAUUGAAAAACAUGAUCUUUAGUAAACGCGGUCGAUAUUUAAGAAAAUUUUGACAAAAAACAUGGUGCCAAUUUUACGUGACGGCGACUAUAAUGAACAUUUAAAUGACACAUAGUUUACAAGUGAGAACAAAUCUUAUGUACAGGUAGCUAAACAAGGUGUAUAGAUGU
rnacentral:lncRNA from 1 species